rnacentral:tRNA from 5 species
UCCUCGGUAGCUCAGUCGGUAGAGCAAUCGGCUGUUAACCGAUCGGUCGGGGGUUCGAGUCCCUCCCGAGGAGCCA